rnacentral:rRNA from 1 species
UACGUAGGGGGCAAGCGUUGUCCGGAAUCAUUGGGCGUAAAGCGCGCGUAGGCGGCUCGAUAAGUCUGCUGUGAAAGUCCAGGGCUCAACCCAGGGAUGCCGGUGGAUACUGUCGAGCUCGAGUCCGGAAGAGGCGAGUGGAAUUCCUGGUGUAGCGGUGAAAUGCGCAGAUAUCAGGAGGAACACCAAUGGCGAAGGCAGCUCGCUGGGACGUGACUGACGCUGAGACGCGAAAGCGUGGGGAGCAAACAGG